AUGCACUGUUGGACAAGAAAAACAAGUCUCUCCCAAACUGUUUAUUUACCCAGUCAUUCUCUUUUUAUUAUAAGCUAUCUAGGCAAUGAAGAGAAUGGUGAUCCCAGGAGCAAAUUACAUCAUCUCGCAGGUGGAGAUCCUCCUAUGGCACGUGGUGGGAAAAUAGGUAUUUGAGGGUAAUGAAGGAGAAGGGAAAUGAGAAGCCGCUAUCUCUAUUUUUAGACUGUUUCAUUCCUGGCUGAACCUGGGAUGAUAGCCAAUAGCUACAAAAGGAGCAACUCAGAAAACAUGAAAGGCCUUGAAAAUCAAAUCCAGGAAAGAAGCUGUCUCCCCAUUUUACAGAUGAAGAAAUGAAGGUUCAGAGAAGGCAAUUACCUUGCUUGAGGCCACACAGUGGGUGGCAGGGCUGGAAUUUGAGCUCAGGUCUCUUUGCCUCCAAAAUACAUACUCUAAUGUACAGAGAAUAUAACAGAAAGCUUUCCAAAAAUAAGUGUGCAAUUUAGAAUUCAAAGCAGGUCUUAUGGAGAGGUGGUGACAAAAGUCAAACAGCAAGAGGGAUUAGCACUUGCAUUGCUGGAGCUCAUGUAACAGAUUGGGGCGUGGAGCUUGUGGGGUGGCACCAAACGGACGGUUUAAAGAAUCUUGUUAAAGGAAACUACUAUCUAUGUGUAGACCACUGAAAGUAGGCGGUGGGGAAACCUAUCUCACAUAAUAUGCCAUGGUGGUAUGAAACUAUUUGAAUAUUUUGAAAUUGGAGGCUUAAAUUAUUUGUAAAACUAAUUAAAGCAGAAUUAAGAUGAUAUGCCUAGCAGAAGGAGCAUAUUCCCAGCCGGAAACAUCCCCCUCUUGGUGGUCAUGACCUCCUGCAGUCAAACGAUUACUACAAAGAAGACAAAACCAGAAACAUUAUUUUCCAGGUCAUGAGAGUCCUAAGACAUGUUUUGUCCUCCCAAGAACCACCAAAAAAGCACAAAGCACAAAAGAAGACAAGGGUGUGAUAACUCAGGUCCACUUCAAAGAAGGAAACUUUGAUAAAAUUCUGGGUGGAUUACAUUUUUUUUUAAAUAAAGGGAGACUAGGAUAUUGUCA
rnacentral:lncRNA from 1 species